rnacentral:rRNA from 1 species
AGAGAGAGACAUGCGUGCAUAUCAAUAAGCGGAGGAAAAGAAACUAACAAGGAUUCCCCUAGUAACGGCGAGUGAAGCGGGAAGAGCUCAAAUUUGAAAUCUUAAAGGGUUUCCCUUUACGAAUUGUAGUUUAAAGAAGUGUUUUCUGUUGAGGUUUUGGUAAAAGUUCUUUGGAAUAGGACAUCAUAGAGGGUGAGAAUCCCGUAUUUGACCUUUACUUUCAACUUUGUGAUACACUUUCAAAGAGUCGGAUUGUUUGGGAAUGCAGUCCAAAAUGGGUGGUAAAUUUCAUCUAAAGCUAAAUAUUGGCGAGAGCCGAUAGCGAACAAGUACCGUGAGGGAAAGAUGAAAAGAACUUUGAAAAGAGAGUUAAACAGUACGUGAAAUUGUCAAAAGGGAAGCGUUUGACACCAGUGUUGUUUUUCUGAGAAUCAAUUAAAGAACUGUUUAUGCUAAGCUGUUUAGACUUUAUCAGCUAACUGUUUAGUUUUGAGCUUUUCUUUAAUGCACUUUUCAGUUAACAAGUCAACAUCAAUUUCUUUUGCUGUAAAAAAGCUUGAGGAAGGUGGCUUGAGAUUCGUCUUAAGUGUUUAUAGCCUCUUGCCUAUGCAGUCGGAGAGAUUGAGGUCUGCAGCGUAGAUCCUUCGGGGCUAAAUGCAUUUGUGCUAAGUUAUAGCAUUUUAUAGACAACUUGUUGACUAUGAUUUGUCUUGUAGCUUACUCGCUUAUGUUAUUUUACCUACGCUUAGGAUGUUGACGCAUGAGAUAUACGC